rnacentral:rRNA from 1 species
AUGCACGCUGGCGGCGUGCCUAAUCCAUGCAGGUCGAGCGAACGGACGAGAAGCUUGCUUCUCUGAUGUUAGCGGCGGACGGGUGAGUAACACGUGGAUAACCUACCUAUAAGACUGGGAUAACUUCGGGAAACCGUAGCUAAUACCGGAUAAUAUUUUGAACCGCAUGGUUCAAAAGUGAAAGACGGUCUUGCUGUCACUUAUAGAUGGAUCCGCGCUGCAUUAGCUAGUUGGUAAGGUAACGGCUUACCAAGGCAACGAUGCAUAGCCGACCUGAGAGGGUGAUCGGCCACACUGGAACUGAGACACGGUCCAGACUCCUACGGGAGGCAGCAGUAGGGAAUCUUCCGCAAUGGGCGAAAGCCUGACGGAGCAACGCCGCGUGAGUGAUGAAGGUCUUCGGAUCGUAAAACUCUGUUAUUAGGGAAGAACAUAUGUGUAAGUAACUGUGCACAUCUUGACGGUACCUAAUCAGAAAGCCACGGCUAACUACGUG